rnacentral:rRNA from 1 species
UACGUAGGUGGCAAGCGUUGUCCGGAUUUACUGGGCGUAAAGAGCUCGUAGGUGGUUUGUCGCGUUGUCCGUGAAAACUCACAACUCAAUUGUGGGCGUGCGGGCGAUACGGGCAGACUGGAGUACUGCAGGGGAGACUGGAAUUCCUGGUGUAGCGGUGGAAUGCGCAGAUAUCAGGAGGAACACCGGUGGCGAAGGCGGGUCUCUGGGCAGUAACUGACGCUGAGGAGCGAAAGCGUGGGGAGCGAACAGG